rnacentral:rRNA from 1 species
UACGGGGGGGGCAAGCGUUGUUCGGAAUUACUGGGCGUAAAGGGCUCGUAGGCGGCCAACUAAGUCGGACGUGAAAUCCCUCGGCUUAACCGGGGAACUGCGUCUGAUACUGGUUGGCUUGAAUCCGGGAGAGGGAUGUGGAAUUCCAGGUGUAGCGGUGAAAUGCGUAGAUAUCUGGAGGAACACCGGUGGCGAAGGCGGCAUCCUGGACCGGUAUUGACGCUGAGGAGCGAAAGCCAGGGGAGCAAACGGG